CCUGCAGGGAUGGGGCAUCCACAAAAGAAGUUUCCCCCGCUUGUGCCACCACCCUGCUGUCCCCACACGGUGCCCGAGGGCCGAACCACGGCAUGGGGCACCCUCGUGCUGUUCCCCCCCAGCUCUUUGUUUCCCUGCAUAGCCCCAUUCCCACUCCCCACUCAGCUCACCCAGGGGCAGCAGCACCGGGCGGUUAUCAGCCGGGCUUUGCAUGUCUCUGUACCUCUACUGAUGCGGCUUGCUGCACGCACAGAGCGCUGCCCCUCUGCACCGGGACAAUCAGCAAUAACAACAAUAGCAAUACCGAGGUUUUGAACGGCGAAAGGGCAAAACACCCAUCAGAAAAAGAAGGGACAAAACCCCACCCCAGCGCCCCGCACACCACGUUCCCGUCGCGCUGCGGGCGAGGCGCGGAGCCGGGCCGGAGGUACCACGGCCUGUCUCCUCCCCGAGCCCAAACCCCACCCUCCGCUUCACGCUGGGACUAUUUCGGGCUGCGAGCCGCUCUCUGACAGAUGCGCUCCCGCGGCCGCACUUGUUGCGCUCAGCGGCCGCCGCCCCGCAGCCCCGCGGCAGCGCUCCGCUCCGCUCCUCCGUCGCUCACCUGCCGGCUCUCCCGCUGCGUUGCUUUCGAGUUCCGCUCCCCGCAGAAGAUGUUUUAGAAGGGAAACCCUCCCGGAGCGCGGCUGUCCCCAUCCCCGUCCCCGUCGGGAGUUCGGCCCCGCGGUGAGAGAUGUCAGAGCCCUCCGCUGCCAACGGGGACGGGAAGGAGCCCGACAUCGAGCUCUUCGUCAAGGUCACGUUGCCGAGGGAGAGGCAGAGCUCCUUGAUUUUGUUGUCGUUUCUCUCCUCGGGAGCGUGCCCUGUUAUUCUUAGCCCGGCGGGGUUCUCGCGGCCAGCCUGACGUGCUGCUCCAUUUAUGGGAACAGAACAUGGAGUAGAGCGACCCAGUGAGGGCUGCGGGGCACCCCGGGCUCCCAGCACAGAGGGCUGAGCUCAGCGGGCACUGCUGUCCUCAGUGCCUGCAGCACUUAUUUCCUCCCUCUGGAGAG